rnacentral:rRNA from 1 species
AUUGAACGCUGGCGGCAGGCCUAACACAUGCAAGUCGAACGAGUGGCGGACGGGAGAGUAAUGUCUGGGAAACUGCCUGAUGGAGGGGGAUCACUACUGGAAACGGUAGCUAAUACCGUAUACCAUCAUAUGUGCCCAGAUGGGAUUAGCUAGUCGGGGGGGUAAUGGCUCACCUAGGCGACGAUCCCUAGCGGGUCUGAGAGGAAGCCCAGCCACACGGGAACUGAGACCCGGUCCAGACUCCUACGGGAGGCAGCAGUGGGGAAUAUUGCACAAUGGGCGCAAGCCUGAUGCAGCCAUGCCGCGUGUGUGAAGAAGGCCUUCGGGUUGUAAAGCACUUUCAGCGAGGAGGCGUUACUCGCAGAAGAAGCACCGGCUAACUCCGUGCCAGCAGCCGCGGUAAUAC